GGAGCGAUUUCUCAAGUGCUGCCUAAGCCAUUUAGCUCACUUCAGGUGAAAGAAAACAUCUUAAACAACAUCCAUACACCAUGCGGUAGCUAGUACCGGUGAGAGAGAGAAUCCCAGUGAGGCUUACAGUAGGAGAGGAAGCUAUAUGGAACUGCCACAUGAAAAGCUAAUGAUGAGUGGAUUGCAGCAAAUUCUCUUCAUUAGUUCGUGGCUAUUCAGAGCCUUGCAAAAGAACUCACGUGGUUGCCUAACUACACAAAAAUAGCAGAAUUAAUAUUCCCUCCGAGUUCCCAGGCACCAGCCGGGGGGGGGGGGGGGCAUCCCGCGAGCCCCAGGCGGACCCCGAAGCGCGUGGGAAAGAAGGAGUUAAAACGGGCAGCCUUCCUGGCGAGCCAGCCCGGACAGCGAGCGAGCGCAGGCCUUUCCUCUUUCGCCUUUUUUUCUUCUUAAUUAAUCAUACGCUGCUUCGCAAUUUAAAUAUGGAAAUGGCGAGCCAUUCGCAAUUAUUAAUGAGCCUCCGGGCUGUCCUGUGGCGUUUCACGACAAGCUGUGUCAGCCCGCGGAAAGCAGCAUGGCAUCUCCUUUCUGAUGUGUGUGAAAUUUAUGUGCACAAAGGCUCCUCCUUAUCUAUGCGCGAGCUAAAUAAAUAAAUAAAGGCUUUUGUUUGCCAGGCUACUUG